UUGGGGAAAAUGUCAUAUUGCGAUUAAUGAGGUCAAUAUUGCGAUUGCGAUAUAAUAAACAAAUGGUUUCAUGAGUCAACUUGCUUGGUUCUAAAGUAAAAUGCACACACAGAUUAGUGAUCAUUCUGUGUAUUAAUGUGUAUUUCUCAACUCAAACUAGCAACAACAACUAAAUGAUUGAUAACACCUAUAAUGAUCAAUAAACCAUUAAUCCAUCCAACAUUACAGUGAUUCCAUCAAUACAAUUGAAAGCUAUCAACUUUUAAAA